AAACACACAUGCCUCAGUAUUUAAACAAUCCGAGACUGUCACAUAUCUUUUGGUUAUCCUUCUUUAACUCUCUCUCUCUCUCUCUCUCUCUCUCUCUCUCUCUCUCUCUCUCUCUCUCUGUGUUUGUGUGUGUGUGUGUGUGUGUUGUAACUAGUAAGCUAUUAGUGGCAGAAAUUCAUUUAUAGCAUUCAGGCAAUGGUUUAACAGCAAACACACACACACACAACUUUCUAAGAAGAAUACGUAGAGGUAGAAAUAGUUAUUUUUAUUUUCUUGUCCUUUGCUCCAUCCAAAAAACAAUUAAUCCUUGUCUCUUGUUGACUUCCACUCAUGACUCAGAUGUGUGUGUCAGCAUAACUGCUAGAGCCACUUAGCAUUUGCUCUGCAAGCAUUUGGACCCAGGUCAACUCUAAUUGAUGACCCCGACUGUAAAGUAUGCAGAGACAUAUAGGUGAAACUUAGAACUAUCAUGGCAACCAGGGGAAAAGAAAGGAAAUUGAAUCAGAUCACAAUGAUGUCUAGGUAAUUCAAGCUCAUGAGGUCUACAGCUUUGUUGGCUCAGUAGGUUUGUCCAUUGAACUUCACUUGAGUUGAUCAAAUAAGUUCAGCCCACAAGACAACGACAAGAAUUCAAGAGGAGUUGGCGAUGGAGUGUUAAAAGCCUAUUAAAGCCUCUUUUAAUAGUUGUUUUGAAUACACGUCAUCCGUGUGUGGAUAUUAAGAAAGUACGAGUGUGUAUGCAUGCGUUUAUGUGCAGUCAUCUCAGCUCCAACUAUGGCAGAUGAGAUUAGUAUGCAGUUAGGUGGCAAACAUGGCAGUUCUAGUGUUGUUUGUGUAGGUGAAAUCUUGGCUUUACAGCCAUAUACAGAGGCAGACUGCAGUUUGACAUCAGACCUAGGCAACUGUGCCCAGGUGAUGACCCUGACAGUCGGAUACCAACAAGCUUCUACCCCAGCCAUCCCUCUUUCCCACAAACUCCUUCUGCCACACAGUCCUACAAACUCUGUCCACUGUUAUAUUGAGGGCCACGAUUCCCUGUCAUUUUGAAGCCCAGAAGGUCCUUGCAACCUGAGUCCCACAAGCUCUUACUCCUGCCACCCUGGGGCACAUAAGUUCCUACGCCUGCCCCCUUAAGUCCCAGAGGCUCCUACUCUUGCCACCCUGGGACACAAAAGCUCCUACACCUGCCACCUUAUAUCCUAAAAGCUCCUACUCUUGCCACCAUGAGGCCCACAAGCUCUUACUCCUGCCACCAUGAAGUCCACAGCUUCUUUCCUGCCAUCUCUUUUUUCCUACAAGCUCCUACUCCUGUCAUCCUAAGGACCACAAGCUCCUGCCAUUUUGAGCCCCAGAAAGUCCUACCACCACAAGUCCCACAAGCUCCUAAUCCUGCCACCCUGAUAUACACAAGCCCCUACACUUGCUCCUACUCCUGCCACUUUGUGUCCCACAAGAUCCUACUCCUGAGCCCCACAUGCUCCUACUGCUGUCAUCCUACGGUCCACAGCCUCCUAAACCCUGUCAUCUUGAGUCCCAUAGGUUCCUACCCCUGCCAUACUAAGGUCCACGGACUCCUUAACCCUGUCAUAAGUCCCAUAAGCUCCUAUGCCGCUUAUCCUAAGGUCCACAAGGACCUGGCAUCUUCAGUUGUAUAAACUCCUGCUUCUUUAAACCUGAAGCCAUCUCAAGUCACACAAACCUCGUUCUCCUGUCCUGGGGACUUCAGGCCUUCCCUCCAGUGAUUCCAAAUAUAACUUCUAUAUUAGUAUCUUUAUCCUUAUACCUUAUAAACUAGAUCUCUCAUGAUUCCAAUUGCUAGCCAAAGAAGAACGGGUUCCUCUCUCCCCAAGUUUUGGUUUUUCUCAAAAUUCUGUCCUGCCUAGCUGUGUCAUAGCUGCAUCAUUGUCCCUGUGGCUCUUGCUGACGGUUAAGGCACUGAUGUAAAGCUGCUUUGAGACAGAGUAUAUUGUAAAAAAAAAAAAAAAAAAAAAAAAAAAAGGAAGAACUAUAAGAACUCACUCUUACAAAAAAACAACAACAGCAGAAUCCUAUUUGUACACAUCUAUGCUCACACCUCCCUCCCUCUCUCUCUCUCUCUCUCUCUCUCUCUCUCUCUCUCUCUCUCUCUCUCUUAAAUUAGCAGUUACACUACAGGCAUGUAGGGAUGGUUUGGCUCAACCUGUUUUACUACCUUUCAGCACUUGAAUGUUUACAACAAAUACUCCUCCUCUGGCAUCACUCAGACUGUACAAGCCAAACAGGUGUAGAUCGAGCCACAAUCGAACGCGCACACUUACCUGCACAUUCCUGUGCAAAGUGCAAACGUUUUGUUCAAAUCUCAGCUUAUAUCUUUCUGAGGUGCUGAAGAGCUGGGGUAGAUACGUGCGCGUGCCCCAGAGUCGCAUGCCAGACGUCUCGGGGAGAAAUCUGAGACCAGUGAAGUUCAUUUAUUCACCACAAGCCUUGUUCCGGUUUACUUCCAGGCACGCAGAGCUCUAUUUGAGUGCGCGCAUACCGGGAACAUGACGGAGGACCGGAAACACACUGAACACCACUGAGAUCUCAGAAGCAAGGGCUGCAUCCUAAACCGCAUAGCAGAGUCCUCGGUACAUGAUCUGUCGAGUCUGAAAUAGGUGCUGAGGCAGAACUGUAGUGAGUGUCUUGGAGUACUGGAGUCAUCUAGUCAUCAAAAAUAUGCCAAAAAAAAAUCCCCAGCAGUGCUGAUGAUUAACACACACUGUGCACAGAAAAGAUGAGCUUUAGCCUCCAAAGCCGAUUUUACACUUAUGAUUUUUUCACAUUGUAAAGAAUUUGUUGGUCGUGAGUUGAGAUCGCAAUACGUGGCACGUUAGUGCCGUUGCAACCAAAGAAGGUCAACGAGAAAGUUCUGGCAGUUCUUUGCUUUGACUUUUGCAAUCGGUUCUUCCAUGUGUCUGUCUGAGAUUCUUGUUAGUAUGAUAUCUCAAGAAGGACUGGUUGAUUGUUUGUAGGAUUUAUAUGGAAUUAUUACUGUAACCAGCAGGUGAACUGACUAGAUGUUGGAAUUGAUCUAAACAGCAUCAAGGUCACAUGUCUGAAAUAGUUUUUAUUCAAUAGUUUUCUUCACCUUGGAAAUAUAUUAUAAGGGAAAUUGUGGCAUACAAAUGACUAGAAAGAACGACUAGACUCGCCGUUGGGGUGAAGUCAAAUCAACUUGUUUCCAUCCAUUAGCAUGGUUUGUGUAAGUUUGGAUAUCAACAUCCCUCCAUCCAUCCAUUUUCUGUGUUGCUUAUCCUACACAGGGUCGCGGGGGUGCCUGGAGAUUAUCCCAAGAAACUCUGGGCAUGAAGCCCGGGACACCCUGGAUGGAGUGCCAACCCAUCACAGGCCAAAAUCACACACCCAUUCAGACACUAUGGAAAAUUUAGAUAUGUCAAUCAGCCUACUUGGACUGGGGGAGGAAACUGGAGUACCUGGAGGAAACCCCCGAAGCACAGGUAGAACAUGCAAACUCCUUGCACACAGGGGGGAGGCGGGAUUCGAACCCCCAACCCCAUGAGGCAAAUAUGCUAACCACUAAGUGCUCCCGUUUCACCAUCACCAUUACCAUAUUUGUAACCAAGUCUGGCGUCGUCCAAUUCCAUCCUCUUACUGGUGGCUUUUAGACCAGCAUCGUUGCAGUGCUUACAUUCUGAGAUUUUAUACAAAAUUUCUUGCCACACUGCCAGAACUUUGUCGUCAGUCAUCUUUGGUUGCAAUCGACCAACGGCAAGCUUGCCACACUAGACGUUCUGAGAACGCCCACAUCAACAACGCAGCCAAAUAAUUCUUUGUGUGAUUUUUGUCUGUAACUGCGAAAUUGGGACGAAAGACCAGCUUACGAUUUCAAAUUGUGGAUGCUGCUACAACGCUCGUCUAAAAGCAACCAAUAGGAUGACGCCAAACUCACGGGGCAGCUACAGAUACAUUAAAGGUAAUGCCUUAACAUAAAGCAAGGGGGCGACCAAGGGGAAACUGUACAUCAUGUACAUGUACAUGGUGGAUAAAAAUAAAGUCUCUUUUAGCUUUUU